rnacentral:rRNA from 1 species
UGGUGGAGUGAUUUGUCUGCUUAAUUGCGAUAUCGAACGAGACCUUAACCUGCUAAUGUAGUUACACCCGCCAUUCGUGCGGUUGGAUAUACUUCUUAGAGGGACUCUCGCGUGCUUUAACCGAGGGAAGUUUGAGGCGAUAACA